rnacentral:rRNA from 1 species
AUAAAUAAGCGGAGGAAAAGAAACCAAACGGGAUUCCCUUAGUAACGGCGAGCGAAAAGGGAAAAGUCCAGCACCAAGUCUUGACAUSUAUGGUGUUCAAGAGAUGCGGUGUUAAUGUAUCGACCCAUCGUGCAYUGUUCCACAUUUCAAGUUCCUACGACUGGGACUUCCARAGCGGGUGUAAGACCCAUAGAGAUGAGGAACCAGUGUAUGCUGAGCGAUGCAUUCUAGAGUCAGGUUGCUUGAGAGUGCAGCUUAAAGUCGGUGGUAAACUCCAUCCAAGACUAAAUAUUACAGCGAGACCGAUAGCAAACAAGUACCGUGAGGGAAAGUUGCAAAGCACUUUGAAGAGAGAGUCCAAAAGUACGUGAAACCACUGGSAGGCAAACAGAUGGAACCACGAAGUGUGCGCCUCGGUCGAUUCAAUCAUCACCAUUUGUCAGUUGUUUGAGAUCAGGAUCUUUUCGRAGAUUGAUUUCCAGCAAYURUGAUGRAUGGUGUUGGUGCAUUUCGUGCCGGGGAUGCUAAGCCACGUUCAACUAGAGUUGGGACGGCUGUAAGAAAGAAUCCGAGAAAGGUGCCCGUCACGUGCUUGCAUUUGACGGUGUUAUAGUCUUGGAUUGGCACCGUCACCUAACAUACUGGUUGAUGCAAAUUCUCCAUUUGGAGUUGAACCAUAUCUGCCUGUGACUGUUAGUCGAUGUUGAGUAAUGUYCUUUGCGUAUCUUUCGAUGCGAAAAGACUUUGCGAAGAUGUCGGCUAAUGGYUGCUUGCGUGAUAUGGUGGAACUGUGGCGCGAGUAGGUCGGUCUCCAUCUGACCCGUCUUGAAACACGGACCAAGGAGCCUAUCAUAUACGCGAGUCGCUCGGUCUUGUUUAGGCCUGGGAGGCGUAAUGAAAGUAAAGUUACUAGGCUUCGGCUGCAGUAACGGCUCGCCCACUUUGUUUAUUGGCAAUAUGGCGAAGCUGGAGCGUAUACGAUGGUACCCGAAAGAUGGUGAACUAUGCCUGGGCAAGACGAAGCCAGARGAAACUCUGGUGGAGGUCUGUAGCGAUUCUGACGUGCAAAUCGAUCGUCAGACCUGGGUAUAGGGGCGAAAGACUAAUCGAACCAUCUAGUAGCUGGUUCCCUCCGAAGUUUCCCUCAGGAUAGCAGGCGUUUAUUUUUGUGCAGUCUCAUCCGGUAAAGCUAAUGAUUAGAGGUCUUGGGGUUGAAACGACCUCAACCUAUUCUCAAACUUUAAAUGGGUGAGAUGGUUGACUUUCUUGAUUGAAGCCAACCAUUUGGAUGCAAAUGCCUAGUGGGCCAUUUUUGGUAAGCAGAACUGGCGCUGUGGGAUGAACCAAACGUCGAGAUAAGGCAUCAAAUGCGUACGCUCAUCAGACCCCAUGAAAGGUGUUGGUUGCUAUAGACAGCAGGACGGUGGCCAUGGAAGUCGGAAUCCGCUAAGGAGUGUGUAACAACUCACCUGCCGAAGCAACUAGCCCUGAAAAUGGACGAUGCUGUAGCGUGGAGCCGAUACUCGACCGUUAURAUGAUUUAAAUUAMGAUAUCAUAACGAGUAGGAGGGCCGCAGUGUUAGCGUUGAAGGUGUCCGGCGUAAGCCGGCCUGGAGCUAUCAUUGUU